AGAGGCUAGUGAGGGUGCGUGUCACUCAACUGUCUUGUGGGAAGGUCUGGGACUGUCGACCGAUAUCCCCGUGAUGGGGACCCACCUUGAGGGGGCGUGGGACAAAAGAAGGCUCCUGAGAGGCGCCACGACGGGGCGAGAUGGCCCAAGUGAUAAAAGCACGAAUUUACUGACCGGAAAUUUCGUGGUUCGAACCCGACCUCU
rnacentral:RNase_P_RNA from 1 species